UACAGAGGUCUCAAGCGUUGUUCGGAUUCAUUGGGCGUAAAGGGUGCGUAGGUGGCGCUGUAAGUCGGGUGUGAAAUUUCGGAGCUUAACUCCGAAACUGCAUUCGAUACUGCGGUGCUUGAGGACUGGAGAGGAGACUGGAAUUCCUGGUGUAGCGGUGAAAUGCGCAGAUAUCAGGAGGAACACCGAUGGCGAAGGCAGGUCUCUGGGCCACUACUGACGCUGAGAAGCGAAAGCAUGGGGAGCGAACAGG
rnacentral:rRNA from 1 species